GCCGGAGUGGCGGAAUUGGCAGACGCGGCGGAUUCAAAAUCCGCUGGCCUUAACGGCCUUGAGGGUUCGAGUCCCUCCUCCGGUA
rnacentral:tRNA from 1 species